GCUGUGGUUUUAAUAGUCUCCCUUCAGCUUUCCUCCCAGGUUGACGAGAACUAACAGAGGAAAUAACGUGCAGUUUUAAAGGGCAGUGAUCAAGGCAGCAAUCGCGUUCUAGCUGAGAAACUUCCGGAUAUUCAGGGAGCAAGCUGUAUUUUUGCAGCGCUUGUUUUGGGAGGACUGCAGCUAUACCACCGAGAGGCUGAAGCAAAUUUUCUUAAUGUUUGAUUUCACUUUCCUGAUGUUUGAGAAGGUGUCUAGGAAGCGAGGUACCAUUCAGCAGUGCCGUGCUGCCAGAAAUGCUCGCUGAGCCCGUGCGAGGAGGAAAUCUCACCGGAACUGCUGGCGUUACCCCAGAAAGACCCUCUGCAGACUGACUCCACGUCCUCAGAGCUGAUCUCAUCGGGGCCUACCAAACACAUUAACGACGUCGAAAGUAGCCUACUUUAAGAGGAAAUAUGCAGAAGAAGAACAUUUACAUCAAGAUUGCCAUGAGUAUUGUCCAAAACACCUGAUACUACCCGAGGACCGGACUUGUAUUCUAAAACUUUCUCUCCAGAAACUCCGAUUCCUGGAAGACCCUGAAGCCUACCUCCGUAGGUCUGUAUUAAUUAACAAUCUGUUGAGGAAGAUUCACCUAGAGACAGAGAGGGAGAGCUAUGAAUACUUUAAGGAGGCUCCAUGUUAUAGGACUGCUUACUCUGACGCACGAAAACGGCUGAAGUUUAUGGUACAGGAGUGCUGUUCCCAGUCGCUCUAUUAUGAAGAGCUGCAUUCGUAUCGUAUCGUGCCUUAUUCUGCAGAGAACGCCGUUUACGGAAUGGGCUACACAAGCAGCCACUUGGAGCAAAAUUCUCAAUUGCUUAUUUAUAAAAUGAAUUAAAGUAGCUGUUAGACCCACCUAUGUUUGUUUCUGAAUGCUUGAACUGCUUAUUGAGGUGUUAAGAUGAGGCACUAAUUGCAGAGAUACUUAAUGAUCAAGCCGGGUGCGGUAGGAGCUGAGCGGAUGGCACUUUGAAACCCGGUGUUAACCCCGUGGCUAUGAAGUACCUUGGCACACACACAGAGCUGGUGCAAUACACAGGUCCUUACCCACCGGGGCUGUGUGCAGCGUGUUGCGUAGAAGCAAAGCCGCAUUUAAGUUCUCUGUGUGUAGAUACAGACAUUGAAAAUCACUUUGCAGUUAAAUUCUGCCAUCUCUGGCAGAAGGGAAGCCCCCAGAGUAGCAGAGUAGUCUAACAGUGAGGAGUAAAAAGCAAGUUAUUUACAUAAAGGAAUAGACAGAAAAUUUCUCUGAGGAAAUGUUUGGAAUAUGAAGGAGUCAGUGCCAAAGGAAACAGCCUUUUGCUUAGGAUUUUCAGAGACUAACUCGCUUGCUACUUACAAGACACUCUAUACUGAGAUUUACAAGGUUAUUAUUAUUUUUUUUUAGAAUAAUUGCAUUCACCUUUUUACAUAUUAUUAUCUCUUAGCUGGUAUCUAUUUUGCUAUUUUAAUGCAGAACAGAAUGACUCACAGGAAAAAUUGUUUCUUCAGCCCGCCAUCAGUGUUUCCUUAGCUUCAUUUGAUUCUUCCCCUAGUUGUUUCCCUGAUACUUUUCUGCAUGCUAAUUUGCUGUUUGGCCGGAGGUUCACAUUGGUGCUAGGGAAUAGACAGUCAUUUAUUUUUACGUGGAAUAAACAAGGCAGAAAAACAACCAUAACUCCUAUCGAUAGAGAAUGAAUGUACGUGACAGAUGCUAGUAAAGCCUCAGAGAUUCUCCUGAUGAAGCUACUCGGCAUUCGUAAUAGUGUUUCAGGUCAAGUAAAAUGUCUAAUUUCAAUCUGGGAAUUAACCUUAGAAUAUGUAAAUCUAUAUUUCGCAAGCUAUGAAAUGACAUGAGAGAUGUUCAGCAAAUCAAUGACUACAAGUGGAAAGUUUUAUAGCUGCCAAAGCUAUAUCACGAAAAUACCAAAGAGUAAUAUAAGGGAAAAGAUGAUGCUCCAGCAAUGGGGUCAAAAGCAAAGAUUGCACUAUAACCUGUGGAAAUGUGAUUGAUGAGCCUGUAAAUUAUCAGUUACUGAUACACCUGCUGUUCACUGGAGGGUGGCUCGCAACCCAGAAUCACUGACCAUAUACGCAGAAUGGUCCAAAGCCUGUCCCAUAGGGCUUUUGGCUUCCAGUGAAGAAAUUGGCUUUGCCUGGCUGGCUAUCACCCCCGCAGCUUUAAAGCAAAGUAAGUAACAGCACACUCUCAGCUGGAGGCAGAUAUGUAUCUAAGAACCUGAUUUAAAAAUAUAUAUAUAUUUUGAAAGGCUUUUUUCAUGCAGGUCUGGCCAAUGCUAUUGCUGAAGCAUUAUGGAGUACGAACAAAUACCAUUGCUCAACAGGGAUGUGUUUAGUGUAGGAUUCCUCCUGUAACCCUGCCCGGAGCAUCUUAGUCGUGUGUGUUGCACGUAUCAUUGCAGCUGUCAGGCACGUGUUCAUGGUGCGGGAAAAAAAGAUAGGAAGGCGAGAGCAGAAGGUGUGAAGAGCAAAGUCAACUCCUACAUCAGCAGUCGGAAGCAGGACAGGUUUAGGGGAUAGAAAGGAACGGUUAAAUACAACUUUUUAAUGAGAAAAAAAAUGCAACAGCUUAUUUCAAAACAAGGAUAGCCUGCAAAGUGGGGAAAACGAACAGCACAGGUAUUGCAGUAAGGCUGGAAAAACAGGGCAGUGCUGUUUUUGGGAGGUUGUUACGAAUAUUCAGGCUGUGAGAAGCAGCUUUUGUUUUUGUGCUGAGGCAGGGCAUAUUUCUUUGCCUCUUCCAAAAGGUGUCAUCAGCCCCUUGCCGUGCAGGACAGGGGGCUUUGCCUCCCUUCCAAAAAACUUGUGCUGGGCCCUGUUUGGGGAGCCUCCAGCUAUGAGGGUCUGUGCCCAGCUUGACAGGGGCCAGCUGAGAGAGGCCGGCUAAUUGCUAAUUGCCAGCUGGGUGCAGCAGCCCUCAUACCACAAGCAGAAGCUGGAAGCCAACCCUGUGCUGCACAGGAGGGGGCUGAGAGCUGAUGGGUGCCACGAGAGGUGCUGUGAGCUCCUUGGGAGGUCCUGGCCCCUGCUGGCCCCUGGGAUCCUCCCGGGGACACAGACCUCAGGAGGCUGCUGGGUGCUACAGGGAAACUGUUCCUCUUGUCUGGUAUUUCAAAAUACGUAAUUUGCUGCUCUGAAGUGAUCCGAUUUAUACACUUUUUUGUUCUUUGUGUGUUUCUGCCUGAACUCAUAAUGAUCUAGCUACUAUAUGAAAUGCUAAAAUGCUUUUGUUUUACCUCUGACCUGCUUUAUUAUAUUCAUAUGAUGGUUCUGGCCUGAAAAACAAACUUUUUACGUAAAAAUUGUUGCAAUGGAGUAAAAAAGCUCAGUAGGAUUAAAGCCUUUAACCUCACCUGAAAAAAAAAAAAAAAAAAGCAGUGUCCCUGUCAGAUUCAGCUCUGAACACUAAUUUCCUUGCCUGCAAGGGGCAGGUACUUUCUUGCCUAUUGAAAGCUUCUCUGAUAACGCGCUGUCUACUGAACAGGUACAACAGAUGCAGAUCUGGAUCAGAUAACAAAACUGCUUGGGCUACCCAUGAAAGAGGGUAAUGUUUUACUCGUGUUUUUCUCAUGUGUUGCUUUCUUGAACAAAAUACACUGUCUGAUUUUUAAUUUUAUUUAUUUCUACUUGCUCUAGGAGCUGUUAAAAGAGAUCAUUUAUUUCUAGAAAACUCUGGUUGACUUUUUGAUAUGAAAUUGAGUUAAAAGUCCACAAUUCUAACUUAUUUUGAGUCUACACAAGUUUUUGUUGCCUUCUGCUUCACCCGGUGGUUUGUGCUGUUGUAAAGUGGGUCUGAAACAUUCAACUUCAGUGCUUAAGAAACAUAAUUUUCAGAGUGAUAAAGAAGUAGAAAGGUGCAAUUACAUUGCAAGUUGCUCCCGAAAUAUUUAAUUUGACAGUUUUUUGAAUUAUGUGCUGAUUUUAUCAUUUAGUUGCCAAGCUACCAGGUACCGGCGUUUUUAAUACAGCUUCCUACAGUGAUUUUCCUGUUCUGGGGUUUGUAGCUGCAAUUCAGCUCUUCUAGCUUCUGAUGUGUGAAUCUGUCUGUAGGUGGUCAAAUUUCGGUGAUAGAUAUAUAUAUAUGUAUUCUACUAUGACUGCGGUAGGAGCUCCCACACACGGGCUAUGUUUGCACUGGAUGUAAAGAAAGUCCUUCCUUCCCUUCAACUCGGUUGCCUUGGAGAUAGCGCGUUCAUCAGAGACGACGCGGGGCGACACGGACAGAGCUGGUAACAGAUAGCUGGUGACUUUGCCAAGGACUGGCUUAGGACAAUCCAUUGUCAUCUCGGAACAUGGCUGUAAGUAGCGUUUCAAAGAGUUACGUUUUCUUGUGCCGCUUUCCCCAACCUGGCUGGGAACGCCGGACCUGAGCAGCACCCGGUGCCGCCCGGAGCAGCAGCGGCUGUGGCAGGAGGCAGCUUGGCCCAGCAGGAAAUCAGCUUUGGUGCAGACAUCCCGCAAUAUUAGGGCCCUGAUCCUGCAAACACUUGGGUUCUUGCCCGAGUGUCUUGGCACGCAUCCUCCGGCUGCAGCCAGGGAGGCUCCUCGUGUGCUCAACGCUCAGCAUGUGUACGGGCGAGCAGGGCUGGGGCUGCCCUGCACCACAGACGUGCUCCUCAGUUGCCUAAUUAUCAGUGAAAAGUGAUCAUAGAGCUGCCGCUUGAGUUCUUGGAUACGUUUAUAUUGCACUGUAAAUGGAACUUUUGUUUUCGAUGAAUGUGUUGAGUAUACAUACGGACUAUCGUGCCUUAAAGUCCCAUCCUCAUACGAGCCUUUGUACAUGUCCUGUAAAAACCGCAGCCCGUGUUUAGCUGAUAACUCUGUGCACUCCACGCAGAUCUGGCUCCGUGCUCAGCAGGGCCUUGGGAAGCACGACCCUGACCCCAAAGUUUGCCAUGAACACAGAGGGCGUUUGGCAAUUCCCUCUUCUCGUCUUUUUUAGACUGCAUUCCUCCUCGUGGUUCACGAAAUUUCUCCUUUUUCCAGUUUCUGCCAUAACCGGGUUCUGCGUUACCUGCAAUGCCAGCGCCCCUCCCGCGAACUCAAAGUUGUAAAAAAAAAAAAAAAAAAAAAAAAAAAAAAAAUUGUCUCCAGCUUUUCAAUGCCAUCUGUACAGCGCUCUCUCAGCAGGGAAUCACAAAUGCAGAUAAUAAUGUUGUCAAGUAUAUCAUCGUAUAUUUGACAUGGUUAACAAAGCAGGAAAGGGAACACCUAUUUCUGCUGAAAUGCAUGAGCCUGCAUUAUGGUAAAUACAUGGUGAUUAUACACCACUUAAUUGGAAUAAUACCGACUGGUUCUAUGAUAAAAAAAAAAAUGGCUUUUUAAUGUUUAAAAUUACUUGGGACCUGAUUAAAGGUUUUUAUGAAAUUGUUUUCUAAAGUGAAUAGUAGAAAAAUGUAAAUGUAUUUUAAAUAUACAUAUAAUGUGCAUGUUUAUUAAUAAAGAUCUAUUUCUAUUGAA